rnacentral:tRNA from 1 species
GGUGGCUUAGUGGUAGAGUGUUUGCCUUGCAUGCAUUAGGCCCUGGGUUCAAAUCCUCAGUACCA